GACGAACGCUGGCGGCGUGCUUAACACAUGCAAGUCGAACGGAAAGGCCCUGCUUUUGUGGGGUGCUCGAGUGGCGAACGGGUGAGUAACACGUGAGUAACCUGCCCUUGACUUUGGGAUAACUUCAGGAAACUGGGGCUAAUACCGGAUAGGAGCUCCUGCUGCAUGGUGGGGGUUGGAAAGGUUCGGCGGGUGGGGAUGGACUCGCGGCUUAUCAGCUUGUUGGUGGGGGAGUGGCUUACCAAGGCUUUGACGGGUAGCCGGCCUGAGAGGGUGACCGGCCACAUUGGGACUGAUAUACGGCCCCGACGCCUACGGGAGGCAGCAGUGGGGAAUAUUGCACAAUGGGCGGAAGCCUGAUGCAGCACCGCCGCGUGCGGGAUGACGGCCUUCGGGUUGUAAACCGCUUUCGCCUGUGACGAAGCGUGAGUGACGGUAAUGGGUAAAGAAGCACCGGCUAACUACGUG
rnacentral:rRNA from 1 species